GAUGAACGCUGGCGGCGUGCCUAAUACAUGCAAGUCGAGCGAACGGACGAGAAUCUUGCUUCUCUUAUGUUAGCGGCGGACGGGUGAGUAACACGUGGAUAACCUACCUAUAAGACUGGGAUAACUUCGGGAAACCGUAGCUAAUACCGGAUAAUAUUUUGAACCGCAUGGUUCAUAAGUGAAAGACGUUCUUGCUGUCACUUAUAGAUGGAUCCUCGCUGCAUUAGCUAGUUGGUAAGGUAACGGCUUACCAAGGCAACGAUGCAUAGCCGACCUGAGAGGAUGAUCAGCCACACUGGAACUGAGACACGGUCCAGACUCCUACGGGAGGCAGCAGUAGGGAAUCUUCCGCAAUGGGCGAAAGCCUGACGGAGCAACGCCGCGUGAGUGAUGAAGGUCUUCGGAUCGUAAAACUCUGUUAUUAGGGAAGAACAUAUGUGUAAGUAACUGUGCACAUCUUGACGGUACCUAAUCAGAAAGCCACGGCUAACUACGUG
rnacentral:rRNA from 1 species